UUGGAUAUUAUUUUGCAGAUAUGAGGUGCUAGCAAUCCAACAGGCUAACAUAAGGAGGAUGGCCAUGGAAGACAGUAAAACUUCUGAAACCAAAGGUGUAUAUGAAGUUGAAAUGUCAGAAACGAAGCAAAGGUUGGGUACAGGACCUGCAACUCCGUGAAGCUUGUGUGGUGAAGUUUGAAAGAGAACAUGACAGUUUUGCUCACAAAUUAUACAAACCAAAAUGCUGAACCAUCGGAGUUGAAACAGGGCUUGAUCAGUAAAUAUUGUUCAUGUGUUUAAAAGGUGACAAAACCAAGACGGUUUUGAUUCUUCAGAGGUGUAAAUGAUCAUGUGAAUUUAGUAUCAGACAUAACACAGUGGUCUUAAACCCUUUGUAGCAAUAACAAUAGACAUCAUUAUUAAAUUUUUUUGAUUCA